ACGAACGCUGGCGGCGUGCUUCACACAUGCCAGUCGCACGGAAAGGCCCUGCUUUUGUGGGGUGCUCGAGUGGCGAACGGGUGAGUAACACGUGAGUAACCUGCCCUUGACUUUGGGAUAACCUCAGGAAACUGGGGCUAAUACCGGAUAGGAGCUCCUGCUGCAUGGUGGGGGUUGGAAAGUUUCGGCGGUUGGGGAUGGACUCGCGGCUUAUCAGCUUGUUGGUGGGGUAGUGGCUUACCAAGGCUUUGACGGGUAGCCGGCCUGAGAGGGUGACCGGCCACAUUGGGACUGAGAUACGGCCCAGACUCCUACGGGAGGCAGCAGUGGGGAAUAUUGCACAAUGGGCGGAAGCCUGAUGCAGCAACGCCGCGUGCGGGAUGACGGCCUUCGGGUUGUAAACCGCUUUCGCCUGUGACGAAGCGUGAGUGACGGUAAUGGGUAAAGAAGCACCGGCUAACUACGUG
rnacentral:rRNA from 1 species